AACGAACGCUGGCGGCGGGCCUAACACAUGCAAGUCGAGCGCCCUUUCGGGGGAGCGGCGGACGGGUGAGUAACGCGUGGGAAUAUGCCCUUCUCUACGGAAUAGCCUCGGGAAACUAAGAGUAAUACCGUAUACGCUCUUAGGGGGAAAGAUUUAUCGGGGGAGGAUUAGCACGCGUUGGAUUAGGUAGUUGGUGGGGUAAUGGCCUACCAAGCCGACGAUCCAUAGCUGGUUUGAGAGGAUGAUCAGCCACACUGGGACUGAGACACGGCCCAGACUCCUACAGGAGGCAGCAGUGGGGAAUCUUAGACAAUGGGGGCAACCCUGAUCUAGCCAUGCCGCGUGAGUGAUGAAGGCCUUAGGGUUGUAAAGCUCUUUCAGCUGGGAAGAUAAUGACGGUACCAGCAGAAGAAGCCCCGGCUAACUCCGUGCCAGCAGCCGCCGUAA
rnacentral:rRNA from 1 species